rnacentral:rRNA from 1 species
UACGUAGGUGGCGAGCGUUGUUCGGAUUUACUGGGCGUAAAGGGCGCGUAGGCGGCCUUGUCAGUCAGGCGUGAAAGCCCCGGGCUCAACCUGGGAACGGCGCUUGGGACGGCGAGGCUGGAGUUCGGGAGAGGAGAGUGGAAUUCCCAGUGUAGAGGUGAAAUUCGUAGAUAUUGGGAAGAACACCGGUGGCGAAGGCGGCUCUCUGGACCGACACUGACGCUGAGGCGCGAAAGCGUGGGGAGCAAACAGG